GGUGGUGGUUUUUCGCCCAGGGAGGGUGUAAUUUUACCAAUUUAGCCCCAAUUUUGCUUGGUUUUUCCCCUCUGGAUUCACCAAGGAAAAAAAAAAGCAAAAAUAUAAAAAAAGGCCCAAAGUGCCUCAAAAUGAGCAGCUGGCGCCAGGCCCUUCCGGCAGCGGCGCUCGGCCGGAUCCCUUCAGUGGGAUUUUGAGUGGAAAACGUGGCUUUUUGGUAAACUCAGGGCUCGAGCCCUUCGGCCCUAGGGAGGGGGGAGGAGAUUUUUCACCGUUUCCCAGUGUUUCUCCCCAAAAAAGGGCAGGAGGGGGGGGAGGGGUGGGGGGGCUCGUGGUGCUGUGUUUGUUUCUCCCCCCUCCCCGCUCUCCACCGAGGCAGGACCGCAGCGACCCAAAACGGCCUCAAAACGGCCCAGAGAGGACAAAUUGCUAAAAAUGACUAAAAUUAGAAAAACAGGAAGCAAAAAGGCACAAAAAAAGCCUAAAACAAUACAAAAAAAGGCAGAAAAUACCCGAGUGAGAGGAGUAAGUACCCGCCGUGUGGUCACGCAGCGCCGGACCGACCCAAAACUCUGCUUUCUCAGCCCAUUCCUGCGCCGGGGUCGGAUCCUGUCCCCAAAAUCCCGCUUUCUGAGCCCGUUUCGCGCUCAAUCCCAAACCCCGUUUUCCGAGCCCGUUUUGUGCUGCGGACACGAGCGUGACCCCAAAAUCCUGCUUUCCGAGCCCGUUUUGCGCCGGGGACGCCGCGCCGCCGGAAAAACCCCAAAAUCCCCAAAAAAACCCUAAAGCGCCCCAAAGCACGUGGGGUGGGGGCGGGGCGCGCGCCUCUUCCCGU
rnacentral:lncRNA from 1 species